UUUUCAGUUUGUCUUGAAAGGUAAGAAGAUUCCUAACAAGACAAGAUGAGGGCUAAGUGGAGAAAGAAGCGCAUGAGGAGACUGAAGCGUAAAAGGAGGAAGAUGAGGGCUAGGUCGAAGUAGAUCAACUCCAUCACUCCCCUUCACAUAAUUGGCCAGCUUGCCUCCAUCUGCAGACCAUCACCUGUGACAACCCUUUGAACAGAAGUUACCACUUGUGUUUAAAAUUAUGAUGAUUAUGAAGACGAUGAUGAUGAUGAAGAAUUGUGUUGAUUGUGUGAACCCUCUCAGAUGGAUCAGACAUCACACCCCUAUCACAGUUGAUGGUUCAAGCUUGCCAAUAGGUAAAUUUCAACUUGAAACUUAACCCUCAUCGGGUCACCAAGGCAACAACAGCAACAAUAUAAUAGCAGCAGCAACAACACAUUGUGAUUCACCAUCUGUGGAGUCUAUGGUUGAAUAAGAAACAGCACCGGGCACAUACAGGAGAGAAGUAUGAAGAAGACGACUCACUGACGUGUACGCCAACACUGGGCGGACAGGUUAUUAGUUUUGACUAUAGACCUCGUCUUAUGGUGGUCAUUCGAAACAAAUCUAUUGGUUUGGGAUGCGUGAUUGGUUGGCUGGACAAGUGAACAUCUCAUCAGUCAGACUUUAAAAUUGUGUGAAGGAAUUAAAAAAAUGAAAAUAAAAAAGAA